UACGUAGGGGCCUAGCGUUGUCCGGAUUUAUUGGGCGUAAAGAGCUCGUAGGCGGUUUGGUAAGUCGGGUGUGAAAUCUCCACGCUCAACGUGGAGGGGCCACCCGAUACUGCCAUGACUGGAGUCCGGUAGGGGAGUGUGGAAUUCCCGGUGUAGCGGUGAAAUGCGCAGAUAUCGGGAGGAACACCAGUAGCGAAGGCGACACGCUGGGCCGGAACUGACGCUGAGGAGCGAAAGCGUGGGGAGCAAACAGG
rnacentral:rRNA from 1 species